rnacentral:rRNA from 1 species
CAGCCGCCGCGGUAAUACGUAGGUCCCGAGCGUUGUCCGGAUUUAUUGGGCGUAAAGCGAGCGCAGGCGGUUAGAUAAGUCUGAAGUUAAAGGCUGUGGCUUAACCAUAGUACGCUUUGGAAACUGUUUAACUUGAGUGCAAGAGGGGAGAGUGGAAUUCCAUGUGUAGCGGUGAAAUGCGUAGAUAUAUGGAGGAACACCGGUGGCGAAAGCGGCUCUCUGGCUUGUAACUGACGCUGAGGCUCGAAAGCGUGGGGAGCAAACAGGAUUAGAUACCCCAGUAGUCCCUGUCUCUUAUACC